AGCAGCAGCAGCAGCAGAAGCCCCCAACUUUGCAGGUAGGUAGCCCCACCGCCACCACCUGUCAGACUUUCGAAGUGGAGCAGCACCCCAAAGAGCGAGGAGGAAACCGAGUUCACCCCGCGCUGCAGCCAAUUUCUCUCUCUCUCUCUCCAGCAUCUGAAGGGACAUUUUUAGCUUCUGGGUGAGUGCGUGUGGAGAAGGAGCUGCUCUCCACCUGCCAAAGGAGAGGGAGAGCAAUCAGGGAGCAACCAGCAACUCCAGUCCUCCCAAGGAAGAAGACUUAAUUUCUGAUCUCAUUUCUCAAGAUCCACCCCCAGACAAAACGCUUCCAGCUUCAAGCCUCGCUGAAUGCUUUUCUCCUCUUCGCUUUGAAGCCAGGACCAAGCUCCCACCCACAACCCCACACUCAUGGUCUUUUGGUUGCUGGUGGAGAAUUAUGGAUGGGGAAGCAAAGCAACACCACCAUUGCUGACCAGAGGCCUGGCGUGGUGGUAGCAGCGUGAUUUCUCAGGCCUGGAAGCUGAAGAAGACUGGAAGUCCCCUUCCGUCAGACAUUUCCGAGCAAGCUUAACUUCUGAGAGCAUUCCCAGGAGGACUGAACCCAACGGGGCAAAUUCUGCAUCUGCAUGGUUCGGAAGAGGCUGGAGAAGAAUCUCUUGUGACUUUGCCAUGUGUUUUAUAGUCUCUUGUUAGAGUUCAGGACUGGUGGCCCACUGUCUGUUACCAAAAAUCAUUUUUCAAUAAAUUGUACAAUAAUUGUA